GAUGAACGCUGGCGGCGUGCCUAAUACAUGCAAGUCGAGCGAACAGACGAGGAGCUUGCUCCCCUGACGUUAGCGGCGGACGGGUGAGUAACACGUGGAUAACCUACCUAUAAGACUGGGAUAACUUCGGGAAACCGGAGCUAAUACCGGAUAAUAUAUUGAACCGCAUGGUUCAAUAGUGAAAGACGGUUUUGCUGUCUCUUAUAGAUGGAUCCGCGCCGCAUUAGCUAGUUGGUAAGGUAACGGCUUACCAAGGCAACGAUGCGUAGCCGACCUGAGAGGGUGAUCGGCCACACUGGAACUGAGACACGGUCCAGACUCCUACGGGAGGCAGCAGUAGGGAAUCUUCCGCAAUGGGCGAAAGCCUGACGGAGCAACGCCGCGUGAGUGAUGAAGGUCUUCGGAUCGUAAAACUCUGUUAUUAGGGAAGAACAAAUGUGUAAGUAACUAUGCACGUCUUGACGGUACCUAAUCAGAAAGCCACGGCUAACUACGUG
rnacentral:rRNA from 1 species